rnacentral:lncRNA from 1 species
CUAUGGGGCCAAGCUUCACUCUUUCAAAAUGGAGGACUAUGUACUGAAGGAAAUGCUAUUAUAAGAAGGCAUACACAUUACAAAUGUUUUGACUCUCAAUCGCUUGAGAUCUUUUGUCACACAAGCCAUUCGGCAAAUAUUUAAAGAAGAGGGAAUUCAGACAACUUCUUCUGAAUCUUUUGCGUUCUUAGCACUAGAACACUUGGUCUACGCUAACCUACCCUUAUACUCCAACUCAGAGCUUCAACAUGCGUACUUUGACACAAAGUAUGUGAUACUAAGUGUUACAACCAACAUAGUUCACAUAUCAAAAGCAUGGAUCCCUUCAUGCAUAGCAAAACAUUCAUAAGCAUCACUCAUAUAAAUCAACAUAAACAUUAUACAUUCCAACACAUUCAUACAUAAA